UCAUAUUUUGUAUACUCAAGCACUACUUUAAUGUGAUUCUGGUAAUUGAGCCAAUCUUAUGAAAAUAGGGGGAGUAUGGCAGUUGUGAAAAUGAAAAUAGAGAAUGAUGGAUCUCAUGAGGUAUUAUCUGACCACAAAUCUUGAAAACACACACACACACACACACACACACACACACCCUCUUUCACACUCUGGAUCUUUGUCUGGAUUGGGGAUUUCCAUUUGAACAAGUGUUCUGGAAGCUAAAGCAAGUGGUCAUUAGACCACAUCUUUUGAAAGCACUGCCUUGGGCAUGAAAGACUUUUCCCAUG